UACGGAGGGUGCAAACGUUGCUCGGAAUCAUUGGGCGUAAAGGGCGUGUAGGCGGUCUGUUAAGUCAUGUGUGAAAUCCCUCGGCUCAACCGGGGGAACGACGCAUGAAACUGACAGCUAGAGUACCAAAGAGGGGGGUGGAAUUCCCGGUGUAGCGGUGAAAUGCGUAGAUAUCGGGGAGGAACACCGGUGGCGAAAGGCGGCCCCCCUGGUUGGAUACUGACGGCUGAGACGCGAAAGCGUGGGGAGCAAACAGGG
rnacentral:rRNA from 1 species